rnacentral:precursor_RNA from 9 species
AAUGGGCAAAGCUCGACGCGUAUAGCGGCACGUGGCAAAGGUGCUGCGAUGCGCCGCGUUAAAUCGUAUCACAGUUCUUUGUCACCUUUUGCUUCACACGCGUAUUUUCGAUAAAACU